rnacentral:rRNA from 1 species
GACGAACGCUGGCGGCGUGCUUAACACAUGCAAGUCGAACGGAAAGGCCCUUCGGGGUACUCGAGUGGCGAACGGGUGAGUAACACGUGGGUGAUCUGCCCCUGACUUUGGGAUAAGCCUGGGAAACUGGGUCUAAUACCGGAUAUUACCUUCCACUGCAUGGUGGGGGGUGGAAAGCUUUUGCGGUUAGGGAUGGGCCCGCGGCCUAUCAGCUUGUUGGUGGGGUAAUGGCCUACCAAGGCGACGACGGGUAGCCGACCUGAGAGGGUGAUCGGCCACACUGGGACUGAGACACGGCCCAGACUCCUACGGGAGGCAGCAGUGGGGAAUAUUGCACAAUGGGCGGAAGCCUGAUGCAGCGACGCCGCGUGAGGGAUGACGGCCUUCGGGUUGUAAACCUCUUUCGCCGGGGACGAAGCCUUUCGGGGUGACGGUACUUGGAGAAGAAGCACCGGCCAACUACGUG